GUCUAUGUAGUAUAUUAA
rnacentral:tRNA from 1 species